AAGACUAAGCCAUGCAUGUCUAAGUCCAAGCUGUGUGUUGUGGGUGAAAGCUCGCACACGCGGCGAAACCGCGGACGGCUCAUUAAAUCAGUCGUGGUCCAAAUGGGCUAGUGUUAUCCUACUUGGAUAACUGUGGUAAUUCCAGAGCUAAUACAUGCAACUGAAAGUCCGAUCGGUUCCUUCGCGGGUUCUGUGACGGCUGCUUUUAUUAGACCAAACCGCUGAGGGGCGCUUGCCGCACGGCUUGCCGUCGCCGUAGACUCGUGUUAUGGUGACUCUGAAUAACACCACUUGACAAGCGCACGUAUCCAUUAGUUUGGGACGGCGCUGCCACUUUCGAGUGUCUGCCUUAUCAGCUAUGAAUCGUUCGUUAUGUGCGACCGAUGGCUUUGACGGGUAACGGGGAAUCAGGGUUCGAUUCCGGAGAGGCAGCCUGAGAAACGGCUACCACGUCUAAGGACGGCAGCAGGCACGCAAAUUACCCAAUCCCAGCYUCUGGGGGAGGUAGUGACGAAAUCUAACGAUGCGGGCGCUCCUUCUGGAGCCCCGCAAUCGGAAUGAGCAUUUUCUUUCUAAACACCCUGUUGAGAACCUACUGAAGGGCAAGUCUGGUGCCAGCAGCCGCGGUAAUUCCAGCUUCAGCAGCAUCUACUAAAGUUGCUGCGGUUAAAAGGCUCGCAGUUGAAUGUCAGUAUCAGGUGCAGCGAUGGUGGACGUUGGAGUUUGCCUGGACGGUGCGUGCCGACCUUCGCGGGAAGGUGCGCGCCUCCUUGCAAGUCUAUAGCUCCCGUCCGUGUCAAGCCUCCUCACCUGUGUACAAAGUGGAAUCUGGUGGUCGCGCUCUCGCGCUGGGGCCGGGCUCGGGGCGCUUGCGGGACGGUUCGGGCUCACGCUCGUUCCGCAACCCGCCUGCGUUUCCCACCGGCUUUUCUUGCGUUUGCGUGGCUGGUUUUCAAAGUCACCUUGAGUAAAUCAGAGUGCUCAAAGCAGUCGUA
rnacentral:rRNA from 1 species